UACGGAGGGAGCUAGCGUUGUUCGGAAUUACUGGGCGUAAAGCGCACGUAGGCGGCUUUGUAAGUUAGAGGUGAAAGCCCAGGGCUUAACCCUGGAAUUGCCUUUAAGACUGCAUCGCUAGAAUCGUGGAGAGGUAAGUGGAAUUCCGAGUGUAGAGGUGAAAUUCGUAGAUAUUCGGAAGAACACCAGUGGCGAGGCGACUUACUGGGACACGUAU
rnacentral:rRNA from 1 species